rnacentral:rRNA from 1 species
GACGAACGCUGGCGGCGUGCUUAACACAUGCAAGUCGUACGGAAAGGCCCUUCUGGGGGUACGCGAGUGGCUAACGGGCGAGUAACACGCUAGUAACUUGCCCGCAACUGUGGGUUAACGAUAGGAAAGUGGUGCUAAGACAGGAUAUGUGCUACUGCGUCAUGGAGGGGGUUGGAAAGCUCGGGCGGGUGGGGAUGGACGCACCGCCUAUCAGCUUGUUGGUUGGGUAGUGGGCUACCUAGGCGGCCACUGGGAGCCGGCCUUGGAGGGAGAACGGCCACAUUGGGACUGGGAUAAGGGCCAGACUCCUACGGGAGGCAGCAGUGGGGAAUAUUGCACCAUGGGCGCGAGGCUGAUGCAGCAAAGCCGCGUGCGGGAUGACGGCCUUCGGGUUGUAAACCGCUUUCAGCAGGGACGAAGCUUUUUGUGACGGUACCUGGAGAAGAAGCACCGGCUAACUACGUG